UGAUAAUUUAUAUCUGACAGGGGGGCUUUAAAGGAAUAGUAUGGUGACAUCUUAGUGGGACUUGAAAUAAAUACUCCUAUACCAACAAUACACUUCAGUGUUGAAGUCAAGAAGAGAAUGGGCUGAUGGGUGGUGGUGCUACUCUAUAGCAGAUUUAAGUCAGGACUGAGAACAGACCACGUAGGAACACUCAACAAGUCUUGGAAAGCCAUUCUGCCAGCAGAUGAUUUUUUCAAGUUGUUUCUUGCGUGACGUAUAAUCUAGUGGACCGGACCUUUCGACACAAGGCUACUGAUU